rnacentral:rRNA from 1 species
GAUGAACGCUGGCGGCGUGCUUAACACAUGCAAGUCGAACGAUGAAGCCCAGCUUGCUGGGUGGAUUAGUGGCGAACGGGUGAGUAACACGUGAGUAACCUGCCCUUAACUCUGGGAUAAGCCUGGGAAACUGGGUCUAAUAUCGGAUAGGAGCGUCCACCGCAUGGGGGGUGUUAGAAAGAUUUAUCGGUUUUGGAUGGACUCGCGGCCUAUCAGCUUGUUGGUGAGGUAAUGGCUCACCAAGGCGACGACGGGUAGCCGGCCUGAGAGGGUGACCGGCCACACUGGGACUGAGACACGGCCCAGACUCCUACGGGAGGCAGCAGUGGGGAAUAUUGCACAAUGGGCGAAAGCCUGAUGCAGCGACGCCGCGUGAGGGAUGACGGCCUUCGGGUUGUAAACCUCUUUCAGUAGGGAAGAAGCGAAAGUGACGGUACCUGCAGAAGAAGCACCGGCUAACUACGUG